rfam:Schistosoma mansoni strain Puerto Rico chromosome 1, complete genome
ACUCAGCUGACGAGUCACGAAUAGGACGAAACCCACGUCCUGAAU